rnacentral:rRNA from 1 species
GACGAACGCUGGCGGCGUGCUUAACACAUGCAAGUCGAACGGAAAGGCCCUGCUUGCAGGGUACUCGAGUGGCGAACGGGUGAGUAACACGUGGGUGAUCUGCCCUGCACUUCGGGAUAAGCCUGGGAAACUGGGUCUAAUACCGGAUAGGAGCCAUUUUUAGUGUGAUGGUUGGAAAGUUUUUUCGGUGUAGGAUGAGCUCGCGGCCUAUCAGCUUGUUGGUGGGGUAAUGGCCUACCAAGGCGGCGACGGGUAGCCGGCCUGAGAGGGUGGACGGCCACAUUGGGACUGAGAUACGGCCCAGACUCCGACGGGAGGCAGCAGUGGGGAAGAUUGCACAAGGGGCGCAAGCCGGAUGCAGCGACGCCGCGUGGGGGAUGACGGCCUUCGGGUUGGAAACUCCUUUCGCUAGGGACGAAGCUUUUUGUGACGGUACCUAGAUAAGAAGCACCGGCUAACUACGUG